AGCAGUGUAGCAUAGUGGUAAAGCACCUGGCUUACAACCAAAAGGUUGCUGGUUCAAUUCCCUGCUGGGA